GACAGAGGGGGCAAGCGUUGCUCGGAAUUACUGGGCGUAAAGGGCGCGUAGGCGGAAUGGCAAGUCGGUCGUGAAAUCCUUCGGCUCAACCGAAGAACGUCGAUCGAAACUGCCGUUCUUGAGGAUUGCAGAGGAGACUGGAAUUCCCGGUGUAGCGGUGAAAUGUGUAGAGAUCGGGAGGAACACCGGUGGCGAAGGCGGGUCUCUGGGCAAUUCCUGACGCUGAGGCGCGAAAGCGUAGGGAGCAAACGGG
rnacentral:rRNA from 1 species